rnacentral:lncRNA from 1 species
AAUAACCGCAUAACAUUUGGUAUAGUACCACUGAAAUGGAGCAUCAUCACAAAUUCACAGUAGAGGGGUGCCUUCCACUCCACAAAAAAUCAAAUGGGACUUAACCCUCAAACGUUUUAAAUGCUUGCCCGGUUUAGAUAACUAAGAUGAUAAAACACGUUAUUCAACAGAUAAAGUAAAAAAACACACAUCUGAAAUAAUUUUCUUCUUAACUAUCAAGCAGGCAGCUCUCCUGACAGGUUUCAGUUCAAAAGGGGGCAAAGAUUCAGCAGCCAGCAAUUGAUUUUGUGUAGUUGACUAAAUAAGGCGAAACGGAUAAGGGUCACAUCCCAUGGAUAAGAUGCUAAACAGUUGUGAAAAAACAAAGUUUCAAAUGGUAUAGUCAUUUUCCCCUUGAUUUUACCACUGUAUUUAGCCGAAACAGUCCAAAUGACUACUCUGCAUUUUAUUUCAAGCGGCUCUGUGCUGUGUGUGACAGGGCAAUCUCGAGUACUACGAACUUGUUUGUAUCUCAUCCUCAACAAACAUGAACAACGGAAUUUCCACCCAUAUAGGGAAGUGAAAGCGCUACUACAGCAGCAUACACGCAAAUAUCAACAAAACCAGCGAUGAACUGGGAUAAUCUGAGCGAUAAACCGCAGAAAAAUUCAGGGCGUUACCAGGGCCAAAAGCGGACCAGCCUCCAGCCGUUGCCGACGCCGAAGCCGACGCCCGCGCCGGGGGUGGGGACGAGGGGGAGCUACCUGCGGUCGGCGGCGUUGGACGCG